AUACGGAGGAUGCAAGCGUUAUCCGGACUUAUUGGGUUUAAAGGGAGCGUAGGUGGAUUGUUAAGUCAGUUGUGAAAGUUUGCGGCUCAACCGUAAAAUUGCAGUUGAAACUGGCAGUCUUGAGUACAGUAGAGGUGGGCGGAAUUCGUGGUGUAGCGGUGAAAUGCUUAGAUAUCACGAAGAACUCCGAUUGCGAAGGCAGCUCACUAGACUGUUACUGACACUGAUGCUCGAAAGUGUGGGUAUCAAACAGGAUUAGAUACCCUGGUAGUCCACACAGUAAACGAUGAAUACUCGCUGUUUGCGAUAUACAGUAAGCGGCCAAGCGAAAGCAUUAAGUAUUCCACCUGGGGAGUACGCCGGCAACGGUGAAACUUAAAGGAAUUGACGGGG
rnacentral:rRNA from 1 species